CAAAUUGAAGAAAAGGGGCUGGACCUACUAUACGCAUGCAGAAGCCAGUCAUUGGUGGCACUCGUCCCCUGGGAGGGGGCAGACACUUGGGCCAGGCAGGUCUCUGCAGUAUUGUUGGCCUCUGGUGCUGAUGGAUUGGACACGCAGAACCAGCCGUAGCUAGAUCAGCCGUGAUGAGAGGGAUACCCUGCUGUUGGGUCAGGACCCUCGACUUUUCCACCAGCUUGUCCACUGAUGAAAAGGAGAAGCCAGUCAGGAAUCAGGAGUUGGCUACCUAUCAUGGGAGUAGGCUGGUUAUUCCAGGGUUUGGUCCCCUCUCGCUCUCUUGCUCUUUUAUGCUGCCUUGCCUUCCACCUUCUGCCAUGGGGUGACACACCACAAGGGUCCUCACCAGAUGCCAACACCUCGAUAUUGGACUUCCCAGCCUUCAGAACCGUAAGCGUAAAUUUCUUUCCUUUAUAAAUUACCCAGCCCGUGUUUAUAGAAACACAAAAUGGAUAGAAAGUUGGUACUGGGAAUGGAAGCUGUUACUAUAACAAAUACCUGACAAUGUGAAAGCAGCUUUGGAAAUGAGCAAUCGAUAGAGGUUGAAAACAUUUGGAAGAGUACGCUAGAAAAAACCUAGAUAUCCAUAAAUGGAGUAGUAAGGACUAUUCUGGAGAGGGCUCAGAACAAGAGGCAAGCUGUAGGGAGAACAGGAAGCUUCUUACAGAUUACUUGAGUGGCCAUGAUCAGAAUGUGGAUAGAAAUACUGACAGUGAAGGCCAUUCUGAUGAGGUCUCAGGUGGAAAAGGGGGAUGUGGAUAGAAAUACUGACAGUGAAGGCCAUUCUGAUGAGGUCUCAGGUGGAAAAGGGGGAUGUGGAAAGAAAUACUGACAGCGAAGGCCUUUCUGAUGAGGUCUCAGGUGGAAAGGGGGAUGUGGAUAGAAAUACUGACAGUGAAGGCCAUUCUGAUGAGGUCUCAGGUGGAAAAGGGGGAUGUGGAUAGAAAUACUGACAGUGAAGGCCAUACUGAUGAGGUCUCAGGUGGAAAAGGGGGAUGUGGAUAGAAAUACUGACAGUGGAGGCCAUUCUGAUGAGGUCUCAGGUGGAAAAGGGGGAUAUCUUAUUGGACACUGCAGGUAAGAGCAUCCUUGUUAUGAAAUGGCAAAGAACUUGGCCAGAUUGUGUCCAUGCUGUAGGGCUUUAUGGAAGGUGGAAUUUAAGAGAGACUGACUAGAAUAUCUAGUAGAAAAAACUUCUAAGCAAAGUAUUAGAGGAGUUGUGGAGAUACUUUUAACUACAUAUAGUAAGAUCCAAGAAGGAAAAAUGACUUAGUUAAAGAUGGAAUUUAUAAUUUUAAAAAAAGCAGAAUAGAAAGAUUUAA
rnacentral:lncRNA from 1 species